CCAGCUUUGAGUUUAUGCGUGCAGGGGAUGAUGGGAAGUAAGGUAUCAUAUUGCCAAUUAUGCUGAAAAAAUUCAAUAAAAACUACCGAAACAACCGAAAUAUUUCAAUAUUUACAAGUAUAAGCUAUCACUCCGUGUUUACACGGCCACAAUUUUUAUUUUUUCAGUAUAAUCAGCAAUGUGAUACCUUACUUCCCAUCGUCCCCUGCACGCAUAAACUAAAAGCUGGAAUUGCCU
rnacentral:lncRNA from 1 species